rnacentral:rRNA from 1 species
AUUGAACGCUGGCGGCAUGCUUUACACAUGCAAGUCGAACGGUAACAGGGUGCUUGCACCGCUGACGAGUGGCGAACGGGUGAGUAAUGCGUCGGAACGUGCCGAGUAGUGGGGGAUAACGCAGCGAAAGUUGUGCUAAUACCGCAUACGUACUGAGGUAGAAAGAGGGGGACCUACGGGCGUCACGCUAUUCGAGCGGCCGACGUCUGAUGAGCUAGUAGGUGAGGUAAAGGCUCACGUAGGCGACGAUCAGUAGCGGGUCUGAGAGGGAUGAUCCGCCACACUGGGACUGAGACACGGCCCAGACUCCUACGGGAGGCAGCAGUGGGGAAUUUUGGACAAUGGGCGAAAGCCUGAUCCAGCCAUGCCGCGUGUCUGAAGAAGGCCUUCGGGUUGUAAAGGACUUUUGUCGGGGAGGAAAUCCCCAGCGUUAAUACCGCUGGGGGAUGACAGUACCUGAAGAAUAAGCACCGGCUAACUACGUGCCAGCCGCCGCGGUAACAC